CCUAGAGAUCAUCUUCCUCAUUCCCUCUCACCUCUCUCUCUAAAAUCCUAGCCGCCCCAACACCCUUCUCCGGUGGCCCGUCUCCAAUCACCCUCAAAUUAACACCCUACACUCCUCAUCUCGCAUCUUUCCACGAUACACCACCACUUUCUCCAAAAUCCCCGUCUAAAUCAUUAAAUUUCGGAUCUGGAAAUCAAACCCUAGCCGUCCCUGUUUGAUUUUUGUUUUAGGUCAUUUGGGUUCGAAAUCGACAUCAGUCGAUUGCUCUUGAUAAGAACAAUCUAUUGAUGGCAGUUUUUGACUCAUCACUUGGCCACCGGAGUCCGGUCAUAUUUCGCCACUGCCUUCGUCCGCCAUUGUUGCUUCGAUCGUUGUUUCUUAAGGUUAAAUGGUAUUUGAUCACCAGUUGAUUUAAGACAUUGGAUUUGAUCACCAGUUGAUCAAAUCCAUUACUGGACAAAUUUUGAGCCCAAAUCAGAUAGUAAUGAAGUGAAUGAAGUGCUGUGGAUUCAGAUUGAUUAAGUUAACAAGCCCAGGCUAGGCCGGAAUGGGAACAUAGCUUUCACGUUAAUGAAAUUGUGGGUUGUAGUUGUUAUAGUAGUUCAUCAAGUGCAGUAAAUUCAAUCAGUUAUAAUUCUGUAAUUUUGUUCUUAUUAUGGUUGUAAUUUAAUUGAAAGGCCAUUUAGUUGUAAUUUGAGUUUCCUGUUGUAUGAGUAGUUCAUCUUUUAGUUCUUGAGUA